rnacentral:rRNA from 1 species
CACGUAGGGCGCAAGCGUUGUCCGGAAUUAUUGGGCGUAAAGAGCUCGUAGGCGGUCUGUUGCGUCGGCUGUGAAAUCCCGAGGCUCAACCUCGGGUCUGCAGUCGAUACGAGCAAACUAGAGUGUUGCAGGGGAGACUGGAAUUCCUGGUGUAGCGGUGAAAUGCGCAGAUAUCAGGAGGAACACCGGUGGCGAAGGCGGGUCUCUGGGCAGUUCCUGACGCUGAGGCACGAAGGUCAGGGGAGCAAACGGG